CGGCAGGAGGCCGCCCGCCCGCCCCGGCCGCCGCACUCCCGGGAGCUUCUCACCUGGCCGCACAGCUCCGGGUCAGCGCAGGAGAACGCCCUGCCCGCGCCGCAGGAGCCCAACGUCACCAACGGAACGCCGCCUCCUCCGGCAGCGCGAGCCGCCCGGUGCCACGCCAAAGCUCGCGAGACCGGCAGCAAGUAUCGCGAGAGGCCCUCCGCGCCCCGCCCCCCGGAAUCAGCGUCCAAUCCCGAGCGCGCAGAGGUCUGCGAGCUGUCACGGCUCUCGCAGCAUCGCGAGGUUUCGCGUUGUCCGCCGGUGACUGCGGGCAGUGUGCAGGCCAGGCUUCCGGAGCCUGCGUGGCGUGUUGGCCUGUUCUCUCUCGGGGUUGGCACGGGCUACUCUGUACCGCGGACGCGCUCUUGCCCCGACGCGCGGGAACCAGGUGUGCCCCAUUAGACGUGCCAGGCUGAGACAGGAGGAGCCUGGAUUGCUGGGACUUUGUCAAAACCACGCAGCAACAAAACCCCGAAGCGAAACCCAACCACGGCGUUCCACACUGCAAGUCCAGCAUUUGGAAAUGGUCCCCAGACCUUGGCUAUGGGAGUUUUUUGUACAUGUGUCGGUUGUAGCUGGUCUCUCCAACUCUGCAAUUUGAUUAGCUGUGGUUUUCUCUACUAAUCUGUUUAUUGCAAGGCGAGUUUCCUUGAUGAGGGGUAAAAACUACAUGCAAAAUAUCUUUAAAUUGCAUCCAUGUUUUAUAUCAAGCUUUCAAGUAGGAAGGGGACAAGAGAGAAUAAUAGGGGCGAAUAUGAGCAAAACAUACUGUAUACAUGUAUAAAAAUGUCAUUGUUAAACCUAGUAUGUAUAUGCUAACAAAAACAUUUCUCUUUUUCGGGGUGUCACAUGGCCCAGGCUGACCUGUCUCCUGGCCCCACCUCCCAGGUGUGUCUGGUGUUGGUUAUUAGACAUCUUUUUCUUAUUUUGCCUCAGUUCUGAAUGCACCCUUUGCUUCUUUUCAAUGUGUAAUCCAGCCUCAAGCAGAGAUACCUGCCUCUCCCUGAGAGGAAAGAGGAGAAAAUUGGGCUGUGUGAAGAUGGCAUUAAUUGAUGUGGGAUACAUCAACAAAGAGACAUUUUGGGAUACUCAAGUGCACAUCAUUUAUUAUUAUUAUGUUAUCAGAUAAUUAAGAAGCACUACUGAUUUUGUUGACAGUGAUAGUGGCACUGUUGUCACAGUGUUUACUGUGGGCCCUGCUUAUUACUAAAAUAUUUACACGAAGAAUAUAGUGGAGUUAGAAGCAGCUUUCUUCACAGUCUAAACUGAAUCACAGACUUUUUGCCCAUGUUCUAAGCAGCUUGGUUGCUAAUAAUUCUGUGUCUGUUUCAUAGGAGAUGGGUUCCAUUCAGUCACGUCUCCUAUCAGCUUCCUGCGAGAUCAUUCCACUGCCGUUGUGAGACUGUUUGCAUUGGCAUCUGCGAUGGUCGCUAAAUAAAUGAGAUUUCUAUGUAA